UAGGGAAUAUUGGACAAUGGGUGAGAGCCUGAUCCAGCCAUGCCGCGUGCAGGAAGAAGGCGUUAUGCGUUGUAAACUGCUUUUGCCAGGGGAUAAAAAGACCGUGCGCGGUUAAUUGAAGGUACCUGGUGAAUAAGCCACGGCUAACUACGUGCCAGCAGCCGCGGUAAUACGUAGGUGGCAAGCGUUGUCCGGAUUUAUUGGGUUUAAAGGGUGCGUAGGUGGCCCUGUAAGUCAGUGGUGAAAUAUCUCAGCUUAACUGAGAGGGUGCCAUUGAUACUGCAGGGCUUGAGUACAGAUGAGGUAGGCGGAAUUGACGGUGUAGCGGUGAAAUGCAUAGAUAUCGUCAAGAACACCGAUAGCGAAGGCAGCUUACCAAGCUGUAACUGACACUGAGGCACGAAAGUGUGGGGAUCAAACAGGAUUAGAUACCCCUAGUAGUCCCUGAGCGGGCUGGCAAGGCGCAU
rnacentral:rRNA from 1 species